UCUAAAACUUUUGAAUAAGAUUACUCUCACACUUAUGGUGAGUACUUCAUGAUACUGUCAUUCAUCCAUCUCAUGUUUCACCAUCUUAUGAUUGACUUUCUUCAGUCUAUUAACUGAGUAGUUGCGAAAUAGUAUUUGACUAGAUAUGCCUUGUUCUUAGGGAACCCGUAUUGGCCACACUGUGUACAGUUUUGGACCUUUUAUUUUUUUAACUUAAAUAUAUUAGGAUUUCCCUUUAAAACUUCUCUAAAAGCGUAAUUUUACAUAGGUAUAUAAUAUCGCGUUGUAUGAACAUAACAAUUUAUUCACUACCCUACUGUUGAACAUUUAUUUAUUAAUUCCAAAAAUACAUAUUGAAUGCCUGAUAUGUGCCAUCACUCAUCUAUAGGCUGAGGACACAUCACUGAACAAAAUAGACAAACACAUCAUGAGCUUACAUUAAGUGAGAGUAUAUGAAUAACAACCAAACAGGUAAAAUAAAUGUCAGAUGGUGGGAUAAGAGCCAGGGAGACAAAGCAGAAUGGUCAAUGCAGAACCUGAGAAAGAGGUACUGAGUUAAAUAUCUGAGUAAGGUGAGAAAGUAAGGCAGUUAUCAGUGACAAGAGCAUUCCAGACAGAAAUAGCAUGCACGCAGUUGCUGAGGUAGAGUGUGAAAGGAAAGGGAGUGUUAAAGGAAAGGGAGGGGUGCUAAAGGAAAGGGAGGAGGCCAGUGUGUUUGAGAGCGAGAGUGAAAGGGAGAAGACUAGAUUGUGGAAGGCAGUGGUUCUUGACAGGGAUAGUAAAUGGCUCCCAAAGAGAUAUUUUGGAAAUUUAUGUGAUUUUUCUUGGGUCAUCACUGUAAUUGGGGAUUAUUUCUGGAAUGCAGUAGAUAGGUGUCAGGUAUGUUACUAUUUCUGUAAUGUACAAGACAGUUCCACACAAGGAAGGGUUGUCCCUUGUCACUUAUAGCUUUUGAAUGUCCCUGUAGAUAUUAAUGUUGAUGAAAAACCUUUUAUAAAUUAUUUCAGUGUCAUGUUUUAAAUGAUUUUUUUUAGUAUAGGGUGUUUCUUCUGUUUUUUCUUUCUUUCAUGACUGACAUUUUUGAAGAGUACAAGCUAAUUACUUUGCAGAUUCCCCUCAAAUUGAAUUUAUCUGCUGUGUUCCAUGAUUUGAUUCAGAUUUGAUUUUUAUGUAGGAAAGCCACAGAAGUGAUGGGCUUUUCAUGCUUGUCAGGAGACACAUUAUGUUGAUUUGUCUCAAUACUUGUAAUGUUAACUCGACCACUUAGUUAAGGUGGUAUCUGCUGGUUUGUGUGUUUUACAUAUUAAUUAAUAAGCAGUUAAUAAAUAUUAUGAAGAGAUUCUUUGAGACUGUAAAUAUCUCUAGUUUAGGAUCUAGUGUUUAUACUUGCGUGAAUAAUUUAUUAAUAAAAUAGCUUUAAUUUGGUGAUCAAAAAAAAUUCUAUCAUCACUUCAGUAUUCAUUCAUUGGAAUUCUGUGGUAAGUUAAAAGUGUCCCUUCUCCAUUUUUUUAUUUAUAUCAUUAUGGGCUCUUGGAUUUUUCUUCUCAAAGGGUCACAACCUAUCACUAUCAUUGUUUAUUUUUGUACUCAAAUUACCCCACACUUGCCCAUGAGAACCAUUUUAAGCUGGUGCCUGUGUGUUUUCCUCAUGAUCCCAUCAUUUCAUGAGCAUUCACCCACUCUCUGAGAUAGGAAGAUACUGUAGGAAUAUCUUAUAUUUUCUUUCCACCAACCCUAGAGCUGUCUGUUUCUCCAAGGGGCCCUGGUUCUUUUUAGCAGAGAGUAGCAUGUAGAAACUAAGAUAUGUAUGCUUGGUGUGCUUAUUGAUACUAUGAUGCUGUUGCCUUUAUACCCUUUCAGCAGACGAUGUGUAUGUACAUAAUUGCACACACAACCCCCUCUCCUCUGUAUGCCUGUUUACUUAUCUAUUACUUUUAUUAUAAAAUGAAAGCUGUGAGUUUAUACUAGUACAUCCAGUUCCAUUCCAGUACUACAGGGUUAUUCUAGCCUUUUUUUCUUUCUUUAUUUGUAACUCACUUCUCUGAUAGUAAGAAACUUGGCUCCCAUUAUCCUCCAUAUAUUUAGUUACUUGUUUAAAUUCCCUUGUAUGUUUUUCCCUCAGCCACUCUGCUUAUCAUGCCUGCAACAGAUUGAAUUUCUUUCCCAGCCCCAAAUCUCUUUCAACCUACAAGUUUUAUAUGUAAUAUAAUUAUUAUUAUACCAUUCCAGAUAUUUUUAAAUUUCCAUUUUGAUUUGUUUCAACAGUGAAAGGUGAUAUAUUAGGAUAAUACCUUCAGUGUGCUGAAAGAAAAUAAAUUAUAUCUACCUAGAAUUGCGUGUCAGUGAAAAUCUGUUUUAAGAAUGUGGUAAUAUAAAAGUGAUUUUAGACAAUAACAGUUCAUUCAACUCUCAUUAAAAAUUUCUAAGUGGUUACCUCAGACUAAAGGGAAAUAAUCUAAUAUGGGAAAUUUGUGAUGUAGGAAAUAUUAAAGAGCAAAAGAUGUGUUAAGUAUGUGGAUAAAUAAAGCUAAAUAAGUAUAUGAAACAAAAAUACUAGGACCUUCAUGACUGAGAUAAAAUGUGGCAGAAACUUAAAAUAUAUGACAACAAUAUCGUACAGGUUUGAAGCUGUAUAAAUGGAGUUAAUCUUUUUCCAAGUUUCUUAACUGGGAAAAAGUUAGGUAUUAUUUACUUUAGCUUGAUAACUAUAUGUGUUAUAAUUUCUACGAUAACCCUGUCCCCUACAUCAUACCUUACUACAAAAUUAAUUUGAGAUGGAUCAUAGACUUUACGUUGAAAAGUAAAAUAAAGUUGCUUGAAAAUCUCUUCAUGAUGUUGGGUUAGGCAAAGGUUUCUUAAGAACAAAAAUACACUAUCCAUAAAAUAAAGGAUUGAUAAAUUGCUCUUCAUGAAAAUUAAGAACGUCUGGUAAUCAAAAGGCACCAUGAAGAGUGAAAAGUCAAGCUACACAGUGGAAGAGGGCAUUUCGGAUACAUAUAUUUGAUAAGGGACAUAAAUCUAGAAUAUAUAAGGAACUCAUGCAAAUCCAUUCUUCCUACCCAAAGACUUCAAUAGGUGUCUCAUAAAUGAAGAUAUCCAAGUGGCCAAUAAGCAUUUGAAAACAUUCUCAAUAUCACUGCCUCUUAGGUAAUGCAAAUUAACCAUAAUGAGAUACUGCUUCAUAUCAGAGUAGCUAAAAUUAAAAAGAGAACAAUACUAAAUAUUGGUAAAGUUAUGAAGCAACUGAAGCAGUCAUUUAUUGCUGAUGGGAAGGUAAACUGGUACAAAACUCUUAAAAUAAUUUACAGUUAUUUCAUAAUGGUAAACAUAUGCCUGACCUGGGACACUUCAUUACUACUUCUUUUUAGGUGCAUACUCAAGAAAUAUCAGUACCUAUGUUCAAUAGAAGACAUGGUCAAUAAUAAUUAUAGUAGCCUCAAACUGAAAACUACAUAAAUGUGUAUCAGGAGUAGAAUAGAUGAAUCAAUUAUGCUUUAUUCAUACAGUGAAAUCCUGUGUAGCCAUAAAAGAGAGCAAACUACUACUGCCUCAACAACUUUGAAAGCUGUCACACAUGUUGUGGUUAGCAGAAAAGCGAGACACAAACGAGCCAUACUGAAUAAUUCCAUUCAUAUGAAAUUCAAAAACUAACCAAUGGUGAGAAAAGUGAUAAGAAUGGUUACCUCUGGUGGAGUCAGGUGUGGUGUGUGUUAUUGACCGGGAAGAGGCACAAGAGGUCUUCUCAGGUAUAGGAAGUUUUGUAUAUCUGGAUAUGGGCAGUAUUUACAUUGCUGUCAACACAUAUAAAAAAUAAACUGCCUGACUUCAGAUUUGUACACCUUAUUAAUGAUUUAUUAUAUAUUAAUUAAAAAGAAACAUUGAACAAGAGAUACAAUUGAAAUCAUAGAAAAGGAACUUUAAAAAGGCAACCAUUUCUAAUCAUAGCAAAAACUUUAUAAAAAGCAUCAAGGUGUAAAUCUAACAAGAUUUAUGAGAUCUUUUAUUAGAGAAUAGUAAAAUUUCUUUUGAAAGGCUAAGUACAUAGAGAAAUAAAUUGUAUUUAUUAAUAAGACUCUAUAUCCAGCUAUCACAGACUGCUUCAAUGAAUCAAGGCAGAUGUUUCUUUAAAUUUUUUUUAUCAUGGUAAAAUACACAUAACACAGAAUUUACCUCUUAACUAUUUUUAAAUGUACAGUUUACUGGUGUUAAGUACAUUCAUAUUGUUGUGCAACCACCACCACCACCAUCCAUCUCCAAGACUCUUUUCAUCUUGUGAAACUGAAACUUUUGCCCAUUAAAUAGUAACUUCUUGUUCUCUUCCCAUCUGCCCCAGGCAACCACCAUUUUCCUUUUUGUUUUGUAUGAUUUUGAUUACUCUGAGUACUUCCUAUAAAUGGAAUAAUGCAAUAUUUGUCUUUUGGUGACUGGCUUAUUUCACUUAGUCGCAUGUGGUUCAUCCAUGUUGUAGCAUGUAAGUGAAUCUAUGGUAGACAGUAUAUAGUUGGAGCAUUCUGCCAAUCUCUGUCUUUUGAUUGGAUAAUUUAUUUGCUUUUAAAGUAAUUAACGAUAAGGAGGAACCUGCUUCUGUCCUUUUUCUCUUUGUUUUCUACAUCAAGGUACAAAUUUUAUGUUCAGAUACAAUUCCAAACCACAAUGAGGAUUUAUCUUACUGCCCUCUACCCCACAGAAAUGCAUUCGUAGGCUCCUAAAGGAAACUCUGUUAGAUUGCUUGUUGUCAAAAACUAUUUAGAUCAUUUUGGCCUGUUCCAUGCUAUGAGAAUGAGAUUCACGCUGUACCCAAGGAUUUACUGAUCUCUCUUGGCAGAAUACUGUCUCUUCUCCUUCUCUUUUCUGUUUGGUAAUAGAAGAAGAGAAGAAAAGUUUGAAGUCAGUACUUUAUGUCAUUUAGUAUAUGAACCAAUAACUCAACACAUUUAGACAAAAAACCAUGAAAUAAACUUUACUUAUACUCUAAAAUAAACCAAACCAAACUACAAAAGUAGUAAGAAGGAAAUUAUAAAAUAAAAUCUAUCAAUUAACUAGAAAACAGAAAAAUAGAAUUGAGCAUUAAAGUCUAGAUUUGGACCUUAAAAAUUCCAAAUCAAAAGAAAGCUCUGACUAGCUAGAAGAGAAGGAAAAACACACAAUGUUAUAAAUGAAAAGGAGCAUGCCAGAUAAUACCACUGAGAAAAUUUGAAAUAAUGAGAGAAAAUAAAGUAUAACUCUUUUCUUGUUAGGUAUAAAAUUUUCAUGAAAUGACUGAUUUUCUUAGAUAAUGUAAUUAAACGGAAAUGUGUAAUAGAGUAAACAUGACUGAGAGAAAAACUUUAUUGAUCAAACAUUUUGGCUUCCAAGUAAAGUGCCUGACCUAGCUCAAUAUUAGGUAACAUUAUGGAGUAUUUCCUGGGUGUGAUAAUGACAUUGUGGUUAUAUGAUAAGUGAAUUAUUUAGGGUUGAAGUGUCAAAUCACAGUGUCUUUGUGGAAGGAUAAAGCUUUGUGGAGGGAUAGGGGAAAUUGUUCAACAGUUGUUGAAUCUAAGUAGAAGGAAUUCACAUGUUUAUUUUAACAUUCUAUCAACUUUUUGGUAUAUUCUUAACAAAAAGAAAACAACAAUGCCUGACUUAGAUGUUUAUGUGGGUGACUCAAGCUAUCAGGUAAUGGAUAACUCCUGUGCUAUAUAAAAAGUUCUAAUACACUAAUAAAAACUUCCUAAUUUAUUUGAGGACAUUAACAAAAACCUCAGAAGACAUACCUGAAAUUAUGAAUCUUUCAUAUCAGUGUGAUGUCUCCACUUUUAUUUCUAAUUUUAUUUAUUUGAGUCUUCUAGUUUUUUCUUAGUCUAGCUAAAUGUUUAACAUUGUUUUUACCUUUUCAAAACUAACAGUUUAGUUGAUUUCUUCCUGUUUUUCUGUUUUUCAUUUCUGCUCUAAUUUUUAUUCUUUCAUUCUUUCUGCUAACUUUGGGCUUAGUUUUGUUCUUCUUUUUCUAGUUCCUUGAGGUGUAAAGUUGAGUUGCUUAUUUGAGAUCUUUCUUCCUUUAAAAACAGACAGUUAUCAUUAGAAACUUCCCUCUUAGUCCUGAUUUUGCUUCAUCCCAUAAGUUUUCAUUUGUUGUAUUUUUGUCUUAAGAUAUUUUUAAAUUUUCCUUGAUCUCAUCUUUGAUCCACUGGUUGUUUAAGAGUGUGUUGUUGCUCUACCGGUGGGAUUUGAUUGCAUGAUGUCUCACAAAAAGUUCUCCGCUCCCAGGCAUGGGUCCCUCAGCUUCCUGCCUCGGAAGCGCAGCAGCAGGCAUCGGGGGAAGGUCAAGAGCUUCCCUAAGGAUGACCCAUCUAAGCCAGUCCACCUCACAGCCUUCCUGGGAUACAAGGCUGGCAUGACCCACAUCGUGCGGGAAGUCGACAGGCCAGGAUCCAAGGUGAACAAGAAGGAGGUGGUGCAGGCUGUGACUAUUGUGGAGACGCCACCCAUGGUGGUUGUGGGCAUUGUGGGCUACAUGGAAACCCCUCGAGGCCUCCGGACCUUCAAGACUGUCUUCGCUGAGCACAUCAGUGAUGAAUGCAAGAGACGUUUCUAUAAGAACUGGCAUAAAUCUAAGAAGGCCUUUACCAAGUACUGCAAGAAAUGGCAGGAUGAGGACGGCAAGAAGCAGCUGGAGAAGGACUUCAGCAGCAUGAAGAAGUACUGCCAAGUCAUCUGUGUCAUUGCCCACACCCAGAUGCACCUGCUUCCUCUGCGCCAGAAGAAGGCCCACCUGAUGGAGAUCCAGGUGAAUGGAGGCACCGUGGCCGAGAAGCUGGACUGGGCCUGUGAGAGGUUCGAGCAGCAGGUACCUGUGAACCAAGUGUUUGGGCAGGAUGAGAUGAUCAACAUCAUCAGGGUGACCAAGGGCAAAGGCUACAAAGGAGUCACCAGUCUUUGGCACACCAAGAAGCUGCCCCGCAAGACCCACUGAGGUCUGUGCAAGGUGGCCUGUAUUGGGGCAUGGCAUCCUGCUUGUGUGGCCUUCUCUGUGGCACGUGCUGGGCAGAAAGGCUGCCAUCACCACACUGAGAUCAACAAGAAGAUCUAUAAGAUUGGCGAGCGCUGCCUUAUCACAGACGGCAAGCUGAUCAAGAACAAUGCUUCCACUGACUAUGACCUGCCUGAAAGAGCAUCAACCCUCUGGGUGGCUUUGUCCGCUAUGGGGAAGUGACCAAUGACUUUGUCAUGCUGAAAGGCUGUGUGGUGGGAACGAAGAAGCGGAUGCGCACACUCCGCAAGUCCUUGCUGGCGCAGACAAAGCGGCGGACUGUGGAGAAGAUUGACCUUAAGUUCAUUGACACCACCUCCAAGUUUGGCCAUGGUCACUUCCAGACCAUGGAAGAGAAGAAAGCAUUCAUGGGACCACUCAAGAAAGACUGAAUUGCAAAGGAAGAAGGAGCUUAAUGCCAGGAGCAGAUUUUGCAGCUGGUGGGGUCUCAAUAAAAAUUAUUUUCCACUGGGGACAAAAAAAAAAAAAAAAGAGUGUGUUGUUAAUUACCACAUAAUUGUGAUUUUCCCAGUUUUCCUUCUGUUACGGAUUUCUAAUUUUAGUCUAUUGUGCUUGGGAAAAAAAGCUUGGUAUCAUUUCAGUCUUCUUAAAUUUGUUCAGACUUGUUUUAUGACUUAAUAUGUGAUCUGUCCUGGAGAAUGUUCUGUGUGCAGUUGAGAAGACUGUGUAUUCUGCAAUUGUUAGGUGGAAUAUUCAGUAUAUGUGUGUUCUAUUCAUUAUUGAAAAUGGAGUACUGACAUCUUCUAUUGUAUUGCUAUUUUUCCUUUCAGUUCCGUCAGUGUUUGCUUUAUAUAUUUAGGUGCUCUGAUGUUGAGUGUAUAUAUGUUUAUACUUGUGUUAUCUUUCUGAUGAAUUGACUCUUUUAUCAUAUGACCUUCUUUGUCUCUUGGGAUGGUUUUUAAUUUAAAGUCUAUAUUGUCUGAUAGUAUGGCCACAACUGUGCUCUUUUGGUUGCUAUCUGCAUGGAGUAUAUUUUCCUGUUCCUUCACUUUUAGCCUGUGUGUCCUUAAAUCUAAAGUGAGUCUCUUGUAGAUAGCAUAUAGUUGGAUCUUAUUUUUAAAAUUAAUUCAGCCACUAUAUGUCUUUUGAUUAGGGAGUUUACUGCAUUUACAUUAAAUUAUUGAUAGAGAAAGACUUACUAGUUCCAUUUUGUUAAUCGUUUUCUUUCUCACAGUUCUUUCGUCCCUUUUCUCCUCUCUUGCUGUCUUCCUUUGUAAUUUGUUGAUUUUGCUUUGAUCCUUCAUUUUUUUUUCUUUUUCUUUUGUGUAUCUUCUAUAGGUAUUUUCUUUGUGGUUACCAAAGUCUUACAUAAAAUAACUUAUAGCUACAGCAAAAGCAAUUUUAAAAAUAGACAAACAGGACUGCAUCAAACUAAAAAGCUUUUGCACAGCAAAGGAAACAGUUAAGAGAAUGAACUGGUAAUCUAUGGAAUAGGAGAAAAUAUUUGUAAACCAUGUAUCUAAUGAGGGGUUAAUAUCCAAAGUAUAUAAGGAACACCUGCAAAUCAACAGCCAAAAGAAAAAAAAGAAAAAAAAAAUCCCCAAAACAAAAAACAAAUAACCUGGUUAAAACAUGGGUAAAGGACUUAAAUGAACAUUUCUUAAAACAUACAAAUGUGUAAGGUGCUGUAUAUGAAGAGAUAUUCAAUAUCGCCAGUCAUCAGGAAAAUCCAAAUCAAAACCACAAUGACUUACCACUUCAUAUCUGUUAGGAUGGCUGAUAUCAAAACAAAACAAAUUGUAACAGGUGUUGGAGAGGAUGUGGAGAAAUUAGAACCCUGUACACUGUAGAUGGGCAUGUAAAAUAGUGUAGCCGUUGUGGAAAAUAGUAUGGAGAUUCCUAAAAAAAAAAAAAAAUAGAAUUACCAUAUGAUCCCACUUCUGGGUGCAUAUCCAAAGGAAAUGAAAUCAGAAUCUUGAGGAGAUCCCAUGUUCACAAUAGCAUUAAUCACAAUAGCCAAGAUACAUAAACAAGAUGUAUAAACAUCGAUAGAUAAAUGGAUAAAGAAAAUGUAGUAUAUACAUACAAUGGAAUAUUAUUCCACCUUAAGGAGGUCCUGGUGUAUGUGACAACAUGGAUGACCCUAUAAGACAUUAAAAUAAUUCAGUCACAGAAGGACAAAUACUGAAUGAUUUCACUUACGUGAAAUAUCUAAAAAUAGUCAAAUUCAGAAAACAGAGAGUAGAAUGGUGAUUGCCAAGGACUGGGAGGAAGGGGGAAUUGGGAAUUGAUGUUACAUAGGUAUCACAGGCAAAGCAGGUAAUUCAAUAUUAGGAAAUUUAUGAAUAAGUUUUUACAUUAGUAGAUCUAAUGGAGAAGUCAUAAUUCAUUAAGCUCCAAAAAGUAUUUGGGAAUUAAAAAAUCUGUAAUUAAAAAUAUUUCUUUAGAAGAAUAUUUCUUUACAGUAGAAUAAUACCUCAAAUAUGAUAAAGAAUAUGUAUUUGAAAUUUGCAAUCAGCAUAAUAAAGGCAAAUACUUUUGUUAUGCAUAUAAAACAUUUGUGAGAGAAGUCAUAUAAUGUGGUGGAGUAGGGAACUCUAGGACUUUUACAAAAACACCUAAUUAGCUUCCAGAAACUAUCAGAAUUAAUUUUUAUAGAACUCUGGAAUUUAGUUAACAUUAAAAAAACAGGAAAAGUAAGGAGCUGUAGCACUGCAGAAAAACACGAUGGCACCUUAAAUUGCUCACCUACCAUUCCUUGUGCCUAGAUUAAUAAUGGCUUUGAAAACGGCAGCUUACACUCAUGGUGCAGGCUGUUAGCACCGGAAGGGUUAGUACAGAUCUUGCUCUCAAAAGAUUGUGAUUGUUUUAACCUGUCUGAAGUCUCUGAAGGACCGGUAUAGAGCUUCCUUUUGUUUUACACAACUCAGAGCUUUCCGGGGACUGGGGUGGCUUAUCCGUCAUCACGUGUCAAAAGUAUUUAAAAGCCAGAGUAUCAACUGUAGAAGUCUGAGUCGGGAUAAAAAUUAGGACAAUGAAUAGGUAGACAAAAAGCCAGGAAGGAACAGUUGAAAAGGAGAUACAGGGUGGUAUAAGGACUUUUAAAUGCUUUUGUAUAUGCUGAGAAAUUGAGAAUGCUAUGUACAUGCCUAGGAUUGGACAACUCCUCACAGAAGGCUUGAGAAGACCCUAAGCUUUCACCACUAGCUGACCUUCCGGCUCUGCCUAACUAAGUAGGAUGUGAAGGUUAAGAUAGAGUUGUAAACAGUCUGGCUAAGUUUUGAUGAAAUGCCACAACACAGAGCAAAAAAGACUGGGAGUGGUUUUUUUUUCUUUUCUAUUACCUUUUUUCUUUCCUUGGCUGCAGGUGUUUAAGGAAACGGUCAAAACAGUAGUUGACCCUGAAGCUAAGUGAGCACAGACUUCACUUCCAUGUACAACAAAGAAUGUAAACUUUAUGAAAUAGUCAGUAAACAACACUUACAACAAGCAGUAACAGCAAACUCCAGGGAAGGGGGAGAAUUCCAGUAUCGAGAGUUGUCACAUUAUAAUAUUCAAUAUGUCCAGUUUUCAACAAAUUAUAAGGCAUGCAAAGAAAUAAAGAAGUGUGACUCAUUCAGAGGAAAAAAGAGAAAUUAGUGAAACUAUCCCUGAGGAAGCCCACCUUAAAUGUACUCAAUGAACUAAACAAAACCAUCAGCAAAGAACUAAAGGGAACCAAGAAAAGGAUUUUUCACCAAAAAGAAAUAUCAACAAAGAAAUUAUAAAAAGGAAACAAAUAGAAAUUCUGCAGCUGAAAAGUACAGUAACAAAAAUUCAUUAGAGGGGUUCAAUAGCUGAUUUGAGUAGUCUGAACAAAGAAUCAGUGAACUUGAAGAAAGGUCAGUUGAUGUAUUCAUUUGAGGAGCAGAAAGAGAAAAGAAUAGAGAAAAUGAACAGGGCUAUGGGACAUCCCCAAGCAUACCAACAUAUGCAUUAUGGGAUUCUUAGAGGGAAGAGAGAGAGAGACAGAGAGAGAGCAAAAGGGGCAGAAAUAACAUUUGAAGAAAUAAUGGUUGAAAACUUCCCUAAUUUGAUGAAAAAUGAACUCCAAAUGGGUUAAACUCAGAGACCCACACCACGACCUAUUAUAGUCAAAUUGUUAAAUACUUAGCAUAGUUACUGGUUCUAUUAGUAGAAAUAUACUUUCCCUAAUGAAGUCAGCUUUAACAGAUUUUUUUUAAACAAGUGUUUCCAAAAGCUUAUUGAUUUUUAAGUAAGUUUUGUGUCACAUGGUAAUAUAUUUCUUUUAUUUGUAGAAAGUAAAUUUUUACUUGUUAGUGCUUGUUGACUCUGUGUGUGUGUGUGUCUGUGUGUGUGUCUGUGUAUUGGUUUACGUGAUGGUGAAGAACUACUUAUUUCUUUUUUGGUUUGUUAUAUGAGGUCUUUGACAUUGUUUGUGACAGGGUCUUGCUCCGUCACCCAGGCUGGAGUGUAGUAGCUAUAUCAUAGCUUACUGCAACGUCCGCCUCCCGAGCUCAAGCUAUCUUUCCACCUCAGUCUCUCAAAGUGCUGGUAUUACAGGCUUGAGCCACUGCACCUGGCUGAUGUGUCAUUAAGCUGGACAAUGAAAGAAUAAUAUAACCUGAUAAAACUCAUGUAGAUCUGUUGAGAAGAGAGAAUUAAUUUUAAUUGUGAAAUAGUCUCUGGAAAUUAGUAAAAGACGUAUUUUAGCUAACCAGUAAUUUCAUAACUUUAUCUCAGUAUAAUUUACUGUAAUACAUAAGGUUUGCCCAUUUAAAUUGUAUAGUUUGUUGACAGAAUUUUACAAUAACAUAAUUUUAGAACUUUGUUGUCAUUCUCCCCUCUUCCCCAAUUCCCUAGCCCUAGGCAAACACCAGUUCACUUUCUCUCCCUAUGGAUUUGCCAAUUCUGAACAUUUUAUGUAAGUAGAAUUGUAAUAUAUGAUCUUUUGUGACUGCCUUCUUUUACAUGUUAUAAUGUUUUCAAGAGUCAUUCAUGUUAUGUUGUAACAUGAAUCAGUACUUCAUCCCUUUUUAUUGCCAAAUUAUAUUUCAUUGUGUAGAUAUUUUGUUUACUCAUUAGUUGGUAGAUAUUUGGAUUUUCCACUCUGGCCAUUGUGAAUAGUGCUGCUAUGAACAUAGUAAGUGUUUAUGUGUUAGAGUGGAUGUUUCAUUUCUCUUGGGUAUAUACCUAACAGUAGAAUUACUGGGACAUAUGGUAACUCCAUGUUUAACAUGUUGAGGAACUUCUAAACUUUUUUCUGAAGUAGCGGCGCUAUUUACAUUCCCACAAGCAGUGUAUGAGUGUUUUAGUUUCUCCAUAUCCUUUCCAACAUUUGUCAUUUUCUGUCUGUUUGAUUAUAGCCUGAUGUUAAGGGUAUUUAUUGUGAUUUUUUACCUAGUUCUAACAACUAAUGGUGUUGAACAUCUUUUCAUGUGAUUAUUGGUCAUUUAUCUUUUCUGAUGAAAUACCUAUUCAAAUUCUUUACCCAUUUAUAAAUUUAUCACUUUACAAAUUUGUUGAAUUGCAAGCAUUCUUUUUAUAUUCUGGAUAUUAGGCCAUUAGCAGAUUUAUGGACUUACCAAUAUAUUCUCCCAUUCUGUAGGCUUUUUCACUUUCUUGAUGGCGACCUGUGAUACACAAAAGUUUUAAAUUCUCAUGAACUCUAACUUAUCAGACUUUUGGUGACAUAUCUAAGAAAUCAGUGCAUAACCCAGGGUCACAAAGAUUUAGUGUUUUCUUCUGAGAUACUUAGUUUUGGUUUUUAUGUUUAGAUCUGUGGUUCUAUUUGAGGCAAUUAAAAUUUUUAUUAUUUUUUUAAAAUUGUGAUAAAAUAUACAUAAAAUUUAUCAUCUUAACCAUUGUUAAGUAUAUGGUUCAGUGGCGUUAAGUACAUUCAUGUUGUUGUUUAAACAAUCUCUAUAGCUUUUUAAAUCUUGCAAUACUGAAACUCUAUAUCCAUUAAACAACAAGUCCUCAUUUUCGCCUUUCCCUUUGCCCCUAGCAACCACUAUUCUACUUUCUGUCUCUAUGAAUUUGACUACUCUGAGUACCUUAUAGUAGCGGAAUCACACAGUGUAUGUCUUUUUGCCAGUGGCUUAUUUCAUUCAGUAGUAUAUUCUUAAAAUUCACCCAUGUUGUACUAUAUGUCAGAAUUUCCUUCUUUUUUAAGACUAUAUUAUUCCAUUGUGUGUGUAUGCUACAUUUUGUUUAUCCAUUCAUCUGUUGAUAGACACUUGAGUUGCUUCUGCCAUUUGGCUAUUGUGAAUAAUGCUGCUGUGAACAUGUUUGUUAUAAUUAUCACUUCAAGAUCCUGCUUUCACUUCUUUUGGGUAUAGACCCAGAAGUGGAAUUGCUGGAUCAUAUAGUCAUUCUAUUUUUAAGUUUUU